AUAUUUUAAAACAAUAAGCUUUUUUGGUGAUAGCCAAAGCCCAAAUCAUAAGCCUUCAAGUUUGUUUCAAAUUGAAUUGUUCUUGGUCCUUACCGCUACAAGACACUGAUUCAAAGCGACGAAGUUGCAUGCAAUCUCACCUCUCUCUCGAUCCUUCUUCCUCACACCAGGUCUAAGGCAAUUUCUUGAUUGUGGUGAACAUGAAAUUUGUUGGAGAGCUUAUAUAUUUGACAACCCAUAAGCAUACUUGAGCUCAUUUAAUUUUUUGGUUAUAAUUUUUACAAUUUCUUUCAACACUUCUGCUCUAAAUAGCCUAUUGCUUAUAAAUUUGGUUGUGUAUCUAACCAAGAGAACUUUAUAUUGUUUCGCAAGGUUAUGUGAACAGAAUUAAAUUUCAUCUCAUGGAGUGAAGGGUGGAGGUUAGAGAAGUACAAAAAUUAGAAAGCAGCCAGCAUUGUUUUUUCUUUAUGUUUCUCAUAAAUGCUUACUGCUAUCAGAUUUUAUUGAAUUUCCUUGUACAUCUGACAUUUGAAUCAGUCUUAAAUUUUAUAUUCUUUACACCAAAUAGAGAAUUACUGCCUAAGUAGAUCUUUCCAGCUUUUGAGGCCUAUUGUUAACUAACUAAUAUCACUGUAUCAGGGUGAUGAGGUGAAUAUAAUUGUCAAAGUCAAAGGCUAAACCACUCCAUGGAAAGCUCUCAGAAGGGAAAUAUAAUCAUGAGGAUAUCAUCUUGUCCUUGAUUCAUCAUCACUCUAUUUGAACUUUUUAAGGGGUUAUAAUCUGAAACAAAAAGCUACAAGAGCUUAUGAACGAGGAGACAAAAAAAAAGUUGUCCACUCAAUGAGGAGUAAGGAGUAAGGUAUGGACUUUGUAAAUUGUACUUGCAGUUCAGUGACGGAAGGGGAGAGAUGAGAAGCAAUUUCUGGUUUCAUAUGAAAGAAGACAAUAGCCAACUUUGGAGUCUUCUAGUCUAGGAGGAUUUUUAUUUAUAUAAUAUUCAAAAUAAUUAAGUUUUCCAUGAUAAUUUUUUUUUAAAUGAAAUAUAUCGAGUCACCAAUAGAAUUGGUGUGGUGCUAAUUGAUGUAUUCAACCAUAUAUUCCACCAAUCACAACAUUGGUGUGUUGAGUCAUUGUCACCAAUGCAUGAACAGUAUCCAUUAGUUGAGGCACCAAAAAACUGAUAGUGAGUCCAUGGGUAUAUGUCACGGCAUCAAUACCAACCCCUACAAUAAUGGUGACUGUUUUGGUGCCUAUUGCUUUUACACACCCUUGAUUGGUGGUCUCAACCCCAAUUCACACCAUUAUUAAUGGCGUUUAAAGCCCAAGUUUGUGGUAGUGCAUGGAAACGUGGGAUUCACGUUCUA